GAAUGAACCUAGAUAUGCUCAAUUUGAAAAAUACAGUGAUACUGUUUGACAUGUAAUUUCAAAAUGUACAACCAAUUGGCAUGCAAGUGGAAGCUCAUUGAAAGAAUGCGUCGAAGAAGGUGAAAAUCCAUUUUGCCACUUGUAAUGUUGUUGUUUAUGGUGUAUAUUUCAGGAGUCACAUUCCUUGGCAUUGGAAUGCAAUGUGGGUGGUAAACUUCAUGCAAAGAUUAAUAUGUGUUUGAGAUUGAUAGUACACAAAUACCGUGAGGGAAAUAUGAAAAGGACUUUGAAAAGAGAUUUAAAAGAGUUUGCAGUUGCUGAACAAAAAACAAAUAGGAUGUCCACGAUUGAGCAGAUUGUUGAACCUCGGUUUGCUUCGAUUGCUAGCAUGUGUGUAUUCAAUGAUUCUAUCUUUGUCUACCAUACCAUUCUCAGCGUAUCAUGACACUUGCAGGUGCUUCGUGUUUUUGCUUGCGAGCUAAUGACAACACCUGCUUGAGAAUGGUAUGCCAAGUGUUCAUUGUGCUUAGAGUCUGCAUGGUGCUAUUGUUAAGCUGCAGGUUUGAACUUGUGCUUUGAGCUGUGCUCUACCUUUUGCAUAUGUCUAUUGGUGAUCAUAUCCUGCUUGACCCGUC
rnacentral:rRNA from 1 species